rnacentral:piRNA from 1 species
UCUCCUUGGGACUGGAUGAAGAUGU